rnacentral:rRNA from 1 species
GUGAGUAACGCGUGAGAAUCUGGCUCUAGGUCGGGGACAACCACUGGAAACGGUGGCUAAUACCGGAUGUGCCGAGAGGUGAAAGAUUUAUUGCCUAGAGAUGAGCUCGCGUCUGAUUAGCUAGUAGGUGGGGUAAGAGCCUACCUAGGCGACGAUCAGUAGCUGGUCUGAGAGGAUGAUCAGCCACACUGGGACUGAGACACGGCCCAGACUCCUACGGGAGGCAGCAGUGGGGAAUUUUCCGCAAUGGGCGAAAGCCUGACGGAGCAAUACCGCGUGAGGGAGGAAGGCUCUUGGGUUGUAAACCUCUUUUCUCAGGGAAGAACACAAUGACGGUACCUGAGGAAUCAGCAUCGGCUAACUCCGUGCCAGCAGCCGCGGUAAUACGGAGGAUGCAAGCGUUAUCCGGAAUGAUUGGGCGUAAAGCGUCCGCAGGUGGCGAUGUAAGUCUGCUGUUAAAGAGUGAGGCUCAACCUCAUAAGAGCAGUGGAAACUACAUAGCUAGAGUGCGUUCGGGGCAGAGGGAAUUCCUGGUGUAGCGGUGAAAUGCGUAGAUAUCAGGAAGAACACCGGUGGCGAAAGCGCUCUGCUAGGCCGCAACUGACACUGAGGGACGAAAGCUAGGGGAGCGAAUGGGAUUAGAUACCCCCAGUAGUCACG